GAAAGAUUUGCACGACCCUCAGUUGGAAGUGAGGAUCUAGGCAGUGAGUAAUAAAAACUCUAACAACAUGCCAGAUCUAACUCUUCCAGCUCAAGGUCGUGCAUAAUAAUCGU
rnacentral:pre_miRNA from 1 species